rnacentral:rRNA from 1 species
UGAAUACGAGACGCUAAGGCGUCGAAGUAGUGUAUAUCAGACUUCCAAGAAAAGCUUGCACUGUCAUAGAUAAAAAAUGCCUGUACCAUAACCGACACAGGUGGGUAGGUAGAGUAUACUAAGGGGCGCGGGAUAACUCUCUCUAAGGAACUCGGCAAAAUAACUCCGUAACUUCGGGAGAAGGAGUGCCUUAUUUAUAAGGUUGCAAUAACAAGAUCCAAGCAACUGUUUAUCAAAAACACAGGUCUCCGCUAAGUCGUAAGACGAUGUAUGGGGGCUGACGCCUGCCCAGUGCCAGAAGGUUAAAGAAGUUGGUUAGCAAUUGCGAAGCUGAUAACUGAAGCCCUGGUGAACGGCGGCCGUAACGAUAACGGUCCUAAGGUAGCGAAAUUCCUUGUCGGGUAAGUUCCGACCCGCACGAAAGGCGUAAUGAUUUGGAUACUGUCUCGGAGAGGGGCUCGGUGAAAUAGACUUGUCUGUGAAGAUGCGGACUACCUGCACCAGGACAGAAAGACCCUAUGAAGCUUUACUGUAACUUGAAAUUGAAAUUGGACUUUAUUCGCGCAGCAUAGGUGGGAGGCGUUGAUUAUAAUCUUGCGGGAUUAUUGGAGCCAUCAGUGAGAUACCACUCUUGUAAUGUUAGAUUUCUAACUUUGAAUCAUUAUCUGGUCAAAGAACAGUUUCAGGCGGGCAGUUUGACUGGGGCGGUCGCCUCCUAAAUGGUAACGGAGGCGUACAAAGGUUUCCUCUGAACGGUUAGAAAUCGUAUCUAGAGUGUAAAGGCAUAAGGAAGCUUGACUGUGAGACCUACAAGUCGAGCAGGGACGAAAGUCGGUCUUAGUGAUCUGACGGUACUGAGUGGAAAGGCCGUCACUCAACGGAUAAAAGUUACUCUAGGAUAACAGGCUGAUCUCCCCCAAGAGUUCACAUCGACGGGGAGGUUUGGCACCUCGAUGUCGGCUCAUCGCAUCCUGGGGCGGUAGUACGUCCCAAGGGUUGGGCUGUUCGCCCAUGAAAGCGGUACGCGAGCUGGGUUCAGAACGUCGUGAGACAGUUCGGUCCAUAUCCGGUGUAGGCGUUAGAAUAUUGAGAGGAGCCUUCUUUAGUACGAGAGGACCAAGAAGGACAUACCUCUGGUGUACCAGUUAUCGUGCCAACGGUAAACGCUGGGUAGCUAUGUAUGGAGUGGAUAACCGCUGAAAGCAUCUAAGUGGGAAGCCCACCUCAAGAUAAGUA